GUCAAUAUGUCCGAGUGGUUAAGGAGAUUGACUCGAAAUCAAUUGGGCUUUGCCCGCGCAGGUUCGAAUCCUGCUGUUGACG
rfam:Capsella rubella cultivar Monte Gargano unplaced genomic scaffold scaffold_7, whole genome shotgun sequence.